CGGGUCGCAGCAGUGGGGAAUAUUGCACAAUGGGCGGAAGCCUGAUGCAGCGACGCCGCGUGAGGGAUGAAGGCCUUCGGGUUGUAAACCUCUUUCAGCAGGGACGAAGCGUGAGUGACGGUACCUGCAGAAGAAGCACCGGCUAACUACGUGCCAGCAGCCGCGGUAAUACGUAGGGUGCGAGCGUUGUCCGGAAUUACUGGGCGUAAAGAGUUCGUAGGCGGUUUGUCGCGUCGUUUGUGAAAACCCGGGGCUCAACUUCGGGCUUGCAGGCGAUACGGGCAGACUUGAGUGUUUCAGGGGAGACUGGAAUUCCUGGUGUAGCGGUGAAAUGCGCAGAUAUCAGGAGGAACACCGGUGGCGAAGGCGGGUCUCUGGGAAACAACUGACGCUGAGGAACGAAAGCGUGGGUAGCAAACAGGAUUAGAUACCCGCGU
rnacentral:rRNA from 1 species